rnacentral:tRNA from 1 species
GAAGAUAUAGCUCAGUGGUAGAGCGAAUGCUUAGCAUGCAAGAGGUCCUGGGUUCAAUACCUAGAACCUCCA